UACGAAGGGGGCUAGCGUUGCUCGGAAUUACUGGGCGUAAAGCGUGCGUAGGUGGUUUCUUAAGUCCGUUGUGAAAGCCCUGGGCUCAACCUGGGAACUGCAGUGGAUACUGAGAGGCUAGAGUGUGUCAGAGGAUGGUGGAAUUCCCGGUGUAGCGGUGAAAUGCGUAGAGAUCGGGAGGAACAUCAGUGGCGAAGGCGGCACUCUGGGCCGGUACUGACACUGAGGAGCGAAAGCGUGGGGAGCGAACAGG
rnacentral:rRNA from 1 species